AUACUUGCAAAUGAUGACUUAUUUUUUCCCCAGCUUAUCGAAAAAUGCUGAUUCUGUGCUAUGUCAAGCCAAUUCAACCUGAUGCAAGUAA